rnacentral:misc_RNA from 1 species
GCCGGGCACUAAAUUAAUGAGGAGGAGAGGUCGUAUCAUGGCUGAAGAAAGAACCCGGUUGUAAGAUCAUACGUAGUUUCCUUCCAUUUUCCACAGAAAGAAAAGCAGAAUUCCAAUUCCAGGAUGACAAGAAAGAGUUAUCAAAUUCCAAGAAAGACGUGAGAAGUGAAUAGUCCAUAUUGAUCCAUUCUUGGGCAUGAUCAGUAGUAUCACUUGCACUUUGCUCUGGCAUCUGUUGACAGCACGGAAUCUGCACUUCUUGUUGAUGCUGAUCAUGGAUUUGAC